rnacentral:rRNA from 1 species
AUACGGAGGAUCCGAGCGUUAUCCGGAUUUAUUGGGUUUAAAGGGAGCGUAGGCGGACGCUUAAGUCAGUUGUGAAAGUUUGCGGCUCAACCGUAAAAUUGCAGUUGAUACUGGGUGUCUUGAGUACAGUAGAGGCAGGCGGAAUUCGUGGUGUAGCGGUGAAAUGCUUAGAUAUCACGAAGAACUCCGAUUGAGAAGGCAGCCGGCUGGACUGUAACUGACGCUGAUGCUCGAAAGUGUGGGUAUCAAACAGGAUUAGAUACCUUGGUAGUCCACACAGUAAACGAUGAAUACUCGCUGUUUGCGAUAUACAGUAAGCGGCCAAGCGAAAGCGUUAAGUAUUCCACCUGGGGGGUACGCCGGCAACGGUGAAACUCAAAGGAAUUGACGGGG